UACGUAGGGUGCAAGCGUUGCCCGGAUUUAUUGGGCGUAAAGAGCUCGUAGGCGGUUUGUCGCGUCGGCCGUGAAAACUUGGGGCUUAACCCCAAGCCUGCGGUCGAUACGGGCAGACUUGAGUUCGGCAGGGGAGACUGGAAUUCCUGGUGUAGCGGUGAAAUGCGUAGAUAUCUGGAGGAACACCGGUGGCGAAGGCGGCAUCCUGGACCGGUAUUGACGCUGAGGCGCGAAAGCUAGGGGAGCAAACGGG
rnacentral:rRNA from 1 species